rnacentral:antisense_RNA from 1 species
AAGAGUAAAGUACUUCCGCUUCCAUAGGUGGAGCUGGAAAGGUGGAGGCGGAAGUGACUGAUCAAUUCAGGGGUGUGGGGUUCGUUUAGGUUUUGCCCUGUGUAUGACCUCUUUUGGAGCCAUGAAACCAGGUGGCUUUUCUACAAUAUAAAGAUGGAAAUGGGAUGAAGAUGUUCAUUGCAAAUUAGGAAAGCUCUUCCACAAGUUCACCAAUGGAAAUAACAUCAAGAGUUUUUCAUCGUCUUAGUGUGCAAGGUAUGGAUAUUCUGUGUGUGAACUUCAAGAGUAUCUAAGGGAGGCAAUAAUGCGGUUGAGAAUAUACCAAAGACUACAAACUGUCUGUGCAUCCCAGAGGAACAGGAAGCUUGUGCAGGUGAAAAGACUGGAGGAGGAAGUAUGUUGAUGAUACCCAGGAAGCCCACCUUCCACUUCUUUGGUCAUCAGAAGUAAGAAAAAGGACAAUUAAAUGAAUGGUUAAUAGUUGUUGAGAGAAAGAGAAUUUUAACUUUAUAUGCCAGUCAUUGAUAAUAUUUGCCAUAGUGGUUGCUGUUAAGUAAGUUUCUUCCUGCAGGCCUGUGAGAAGGCAUAGUACAUGAAAGUGGCAGUGCUUUCAACCUGAUUAUUCUUAUACAGUAUAGACUUUUAUUAUAUAACAAGCAAUACUUACAUUUUCUUAUUUACUUAUUUAUUACUAUACACUUAGACAUAUGGAGACACAGUAAUAAACAUCUAAGUGGUACAAAUAGGUACAAAACCAAAAAUAAAAGUCUUUGCCUUCUAACUUC